CGUAACACGUAAGCAACCUGCCCAAGACCGGGACAACGUUCCGAAAGGAGCGCUAAUACCGGAUGUGCCCAUCGGGUGACAUCGCCUGUUGAGUAAAUCGAGCAAUCGGCUUUGGGGAGGGGCUUGCGGCCUAUCAGCUAGAUGGUGGGGUAACGGCCUACCAUGGCGACGACGGGUAGCUGGUCUGAGAGGAUGGUCAGCCGGAUUGGGACUGAGAUACGGCCCAG
rnacentral:rRNA from 1 species